CCACACUCAACCACCAGGGAUUCCAGAGAAGUAUGUGCAGAUAGUCAAAAGGGAAUAGUCAGGUGAGGGGUGGUGGUGUGAGAGACUGGGACUGGAACUUGGAGCUGUGCUAAGGAAGUUCUGGUUCUAGAUACAGUGCUAGGGGCUGGGACUGGAACCUGGUGUCUGGUUGAGGCUGUAGUGAUGCAGCAGCGGAGUUCUUGUCUGUGGAGGUGGAGGGUCCUACUCUGGUCCACACUACUCCUCCUCAGUCCCCUCAGAGCCACAGGGCAUCUCUUUACCAUUGUAGAAGAUGGCGUGUCUUCAGAGGACGGGAGUGGUGACCCUGGUUUAGACCAAACUGUGAGAGGAGAAAAUUGGAACCCAUGUCUGGAGGGCCAGGAUGUGUUUUCCACGGUCAAAGAGAACAGCAUGAUAGGAGAACUCAUCGCUGAGCUCAACACUGAGCUGACAGCCAAUGAUGUUGUCUGGAGCCUAACUGGGGAGGACGCUGAUUGGUUCUUCCUAGAAAGGCGGAGCAUCAGACUCAAUGCCCCAUUGGAUAGAGUUCUGGACCGGGAGGUGCAGGGCCCAGUCCUGAUGGCAGCGUUGACCUGCUAUGAGGAGGACACCGUGCAGAGUGAGUACAGGAUCAUGGUGGAGAUUCUGAAUGAGAA
rnacentral:lncRNA from 1 species